rnacentral:lncRNA from 1 species
CUGGAGGAAAAUGUCUGUAUUAAAAGCCAAAAAACCACAGAAGUACAAGAAACGCCCACCAGGCCACGUCACUGGAUAGAUCGACUUGGAAAAGGUUCAUAAAGUUCAUUUUUAGCGGUAACAAUAUGUGGGUGUGAAAUCUUUCCCAUGCCUCCCCCCCACUUAAAUAAAUUAAAAAAACAACAAACUUCAAAUACUAUGUUUGGAUACAAAGAGCUUCUCUUCCUACAGCAAUAGCAAUUUGAUUUUUUUUUUUUACUAAAACUUUCAUUUAAAACGGGUAUUAAAUAUAUAAAACAAAUACACAGGAUUUGGUCAUUUUCUGCCAUGAAUAUAGGGCACGUGGGUGCGGGGAGGGAGGGGGGCAGGGGGAUACAAUAGAGGGGAAAGGGCCCCGUCUCCCUCCUGUCGGUCCUCCUAGCUGCGGAUCCCACCCUUCGGGCGCAAGGGCUGGCACCUGCCUUUCGGAACGACGCGCGGCGCGCAGGUCGCUGGGCCAAGCCGCUGGGGCCCCUCCGGCGGCCCCCUCCCGGGAAGGAGAACUAACGGUCACUACAGCACGAAGCACACGGGCCGAGUCUCCCGGCGGGAAAGGCACCCGAGAGCGCGGCCACAGGGCGGACGCGGGGAGGAGCGGGGCGGGUCACUUGGCCGCUGCCCCCGAGGUGACGGCCGCAGCGGCGGCGGCGGCGGCGGCAGCGGCUGCAGCGGCGGCAGCGGUGGUCCCGGCGGGCACGGCGGCGGGGGCGGCGGCGGCGGCGGCGCUGGCGGUGGUCCGACGCUGCUCCAUGCCGUUAGGCAGGAAGCCGGCGAUGAUGGGCACCGGCCAGAUGAGGGCGGCCACGCUCCACACGACGAUGACCAGGGUCAUGAAGCAGGCGACCAGCGUGGACUCGAUGGGCUUGCGGUUCAGCCGCCAGCCCGGCUCACCCUGCAGCUCCUCCAGGCUGAAGUCCAGGCAGCAGAAGUGCAGCGGCUCGCCCUGCAGCCACAGCGGCCCGGGGGGCUCGGCCGCGGGGUAGGCGGGC